rnacentral:rRNA from 2 species
UACGUAGGUGGCAAGCGUUGUCCGGAUUUACUGGGCGUAAAGGGAGCGUAGGUGGAUAUUUAAGUGGGAUGUGAAAUACUCGGGCUUAACCUGGGUGCUGCAUUCCAAACUGGAUAUCUAGAGUGCAGGAGAGGAAAGUAGAAUUCCUAGUGUAGCGGUGAAAUGCGUAGAGAUUAGGAAGAAUACCAGUGGCGAAGGCGACUUUCUGGACUGUAACUGACACUGAGGCUCGAAAGCGUGGGGAG